GAUGAACGCUGGCGGCGUGCCUAAUACAUGCAAGUCGAGCGAAUGGAUUAAGAGCUUGCUCUUAUGAAGUUAGCGGCGGACGGGUGAGUAACACGUGGGUAACCUGCCCAUAAGACUGGGAUAACUCCGGGAAACCGGGGCUAAUACCGGAUAAUAUUUUGAACUGCAUGGUUCAAAAUUGAAAGGCGGAUUCGGCUGUCACUUAUGGAUGGACCCGCGUCGCAUUAGCUAGUUGGUGAGGUAACGGCUCACCAAGGCAACGAUGCGUAGCCGACCUGAGAGGGUGAUCGGCCACACUGGGACUGAGACACGGCCCAGGCUCCUACGGGAGGCAGCAGUAGGGAAUCUUCCGCAAUGGACGAAAGUCUGACGGAGCAACGCCGCGUGAGUGAUGAAGGCUUUCGGGUCGUAAAACUCUGUUGUUAGGGAAGAACAAGUGCUAGUUGAAUAAGCUGGCACCUUGACGGUACCUAACCAGAAAGCCACGGCUAACUACGUGCCAGCCGCCGCGGUAA
rnacentral:rRNA from 1 species